AGAAGUGUUGGGGUUUUCUGCUCCCAGAACUUCAUUGUUAAAGAAAGGAGGAGGAAUUUGUCCUUCCCUCCACUUGGCAAGCAAUGCGCAUGUUCCUUUCUGUAAACAGCAGACUAAUUUGAGCAGUGAGCAGCCCCCACUGGCUUCUGGCUUUUACUAACUGUAGGCUGAGGGCUCAGUGCAACAAAAACUUGAGUUGCCCACAGAACAGCUACUCUGAUUCAGAUGAAAGCUGGGGAGGACUUCGGUCCUUCUUGGAAAAUACUUGUGCUUUUUUGUUGAUUGUUCUUGUUCCCAACAGAGACAGAAGUGAACUAAUCUCCCAAACUGGGAUGCUCAGAGAUGUCCAAAGUGAGAUAGGACUGGCAAGAAUACAAUACACAGAUUAAUAAGGAAGUCAUUAAGGGAUAGAAAAGCUCUGAUGUGAUGGAGUGGCUUUUAGUUUGAAGAAAAAUAGAAUGUCUUGCUCCUGAGUACCCUGAACAAUGAAGAUGAAGAUACCUGUUCCAGAAAGUAGACUUGGACCCCCAAGUUGUUUCAUACUUAGGUCCUGGGAAAUUAACUGCAAGGAGCCACUGUAAGGUGCUAGACCUGAAGUUCCCAUCCUGUGGUCCAAGAAAAGCUGGCACAUCACAUGCAUUUCAGAAAUGCACACUUUAUCAUUCAGUGAUUUACCAACACAACGUUGAGAACUGAAAAGGAGGCAGACAGAUAUGUUCUUUACCUUUUAUGACACCCGGGGCCAGUUUCCUGUUCAACUUAAUCUAAACUCAAGAAUAAUAUUUUAUCUGCUCCUUCCAAAUUUCAAAACUUUAACAACAACAGCAACAAAAUGGAUAGAGGAUGCUGCCUUUUGCAUGCCAUGUGAAGAAGCCAGAGACAGAAUGGAACGGAAAUCUGAGAACAGAUUUGGAGUGGCAGAGUUGCACAUGAAGCAUGUAGGAUGAGGUGCCACGUGGCAACAGCUUUCUCUUCUGGCUGUGCUGAGGAGCUCUCAGCACACUGUACUCCCACCUGAGAUCACAAUGGUGGCUGAGAAAUCUUUGUUGCUCCCUUUUCUCCCAUCAGCAACACUCAUAUCCAGGCUGAAUAAAUCCUUCAACAGCAUUCUUUGCUUGUGGCCGUUUGAUGUGCUUCCAAGCAGCUACAAACAUGGGAGACACCCAAACUGCUUAGUGCCAGAAAGGCUGAAACUGCACUGCCAUGGGAGCCUGAACGGCAGAGGGGCCACCUGGCAGUGCCCUGCAGGACCCAAGGUGCUCACCCACCCACUACGCAAGAAGCUCCUCAUGUCCUUCCGCUCUGCGGUGGGCAGCACCUGGAGUGCCUUUCCUAGCUCUGAUUCUAUUCUUCUGCUCCAAAGCAACAAGCCAAACUCCCCACCAGCAUUCAACCUCCGUGCCAAAAAGAAAAUAACAAGAGUAAAAGCACUGCACAACAGAAACACAUAGGACAGUGAAGAGGCUGGGAUUGCUGGGGAGUCCAGCAUAGUCGCGUCGGGGUGCUCAGGUCGGUGCUGCUGCAGCAUUCAUCCAGGCCAAUGGGGAAGGUAGGUGGUUGGUGGCUGUGAGCACCUCCCCUGGAUGGAAAAUGACACCUCUGCACAGCUCUGGACAUUUCUGAAUGCCACAGGAGGUUGGGGAGACCAGCCCAGCUGGAAAGAGGGUAGACAUGCUCCAGCAUCAAUGCCAUCAGCUCUGACAAGGUCCUGGCUGGCUGCAGCACGCUGAUGUCCUCAUAAACCAAGGCUCUCUCUCUGAUGGCUGUGCAAACGAGAAGCUGGGCUUAACUGGAGCACAGUGCUGUUGCUGGCUUUAACUCUCCAAUGAACUCUCCAAUUCCCAUUUUCCCAGGGCAGUUCAGCGCCAGGGUAAAUCAGUGCAUGUGUGCAGCCCUGCUGCCAGCUGGCUGCUCCUGCCUGCAGCGGUGUCUGGUCACAGCUCUGGGGAUGUGCCCUGCAAGUCCCCCCUUGGCAGCACCUCCUGCCUGCCACGCUCACUUCCUUCAGCCUUUGCCUUUCUCCCUGCUCUGGUCCUCUGACUUCAGAACAUGGCUUUCUGUUUUAGUUCACUUCUGUAUUUAUACUGGGCCAAACUGACUGGAUACUUUCUGAACAGGGUGACCUAGGAGUUUUGAACAGACCAUCUUGUCAAAAGUUCUGUUAUUUCCCUUACCAAUGUGGUUUGAUUUGUUUUAUUUUCUUUUUUCUUGGUAAAACUGUCAAUAGGAACCACUUUUUGAAAGUCAGAAGAUGCAAAGCAGACCUUCCACAAGGAUUCCCCAAGGAGCAGAGAAUUUGAGGAUCACUGCGAAGGGCAUCAUUGCUCCUUGCUGUUCAUCCCAAACUGUCUUCAUUCUCUCACCCUGUGUAUUCCUGCACAACGGGACUGAGGGAAGUGCAUGAGAUCUAUUGCUGAACUGUGGUGUGGAUAGACUUUGUCUUCCUCAGCUAGCAUUCUGUCACCUUUCAAGAGUGAAAAAUUCAUUUUUAAAACAAAAAUCCCAAGUAAGAAACCUCACAUAGUUGCAGGAAACCACCACAGAGGUAUACAAUAUCCAGCGGAAGACCUUGCUGAAAACUGAACAGAUUACUCUUGUUAUAUGUGGUUAAACUGGGCCAUUAAUGCUAAAACAGUUCAAAGCACAAAAUAAAUUCUGAUUUUCUCCUGUCAAAGUUGGUGGUUUGGUGUUCACACAUUCUAGGCUCCGGUUAAAUGAUUUACUGUACAAUUUAAUGCCUUUCAGCUGUCACUCGCAAAAAGGAUCCCUUGAAUGAUCUGCCAGUGAAUGAAGGCAGCACUUGCCCAGGGUGAAGUGUGGCCAGGGCUGCAGGACCCAACUUGCCAAGAUACUCAGGAACAAUCACGUAAGCCACUGUGACCCAUGUGUGGUACCCAGCGAAGUGAAGGCCACCUUGCUGUGAUCACAUCUGCAAAACCACUUCAUUUAAAGCAUACUGAGACGUUCACUCUGCUGUGGAACUUUUACGAGCAACUGCCUUUACAACAGCUCGCACCAUAGGCACGCUGCUAUUCUUUGUCCUUCUUUUGAACUCUUCUCUGCUCCCGGUCUUCCAGCGGUGUGAUUUUUUGAAGUUUUCCUUCACAAUAGCUUCUCAAAAUCCCAGUUCUCACAUAUCAACACAAAUAGGAGAAACAGUUGCCAUGGGACAGUGAAAAACAUAUUUCAGGAGCUCAGGAGCAAAGAAGGAAAUAAAAAAGGCACUGGAUUUCAGCAGUUACGUGUUGUAGUGUUUGACGUAGCUCUGAGUUCUUUGCUUUGUCUCUAGCUGCAGUGGUACUGUGCCUCUCAUGUUCAGCAGUGGGUGCACUCAGCAGUGGGUGCAGCUCUUAGCAGUGACCUCAUGGGGACACAGCAGUGCCCAGCACUGCAGCCAUGUUCUGUGGAACAGAGAGAAUACUGGUGUCACCUAAAACU
rnacentral:lncRNA from 1 species